rnacentral:rRNA from 1 species
CGUGUCGUGAGAUGUUGGGUUAAGUCCCGCAACGAGCGCAACCCUUGAUCUUAGUUGCCAGCAUUCAGUUGGGCACUCUAAGGUGACUGCCGGUGACAAACCGGAGGAAGGUGGGGAUGACGUCAAAUCAUCAUGCCCCUUAUGACCUGGGCUACACACGUGCUACAAUGGACAGAACAAAGGGCAGCGAAACCGCGAGGUUAAGCCAAUCCCACAAAUCUGUUCUCAGUUCGGAUCGCAGUCUGCAACUCGACUGCGUGAAGCUGGAAUCGCUAGUAAUCGCGGAUCAGCAUGCCGCGGUGAAUACGUUCCCGGGCCUUGUACACACCGCCCGUCACACCACGAGAGUUUGUAACACCCGAAGUCGGUGAGGUAACCUUUUAGGAGCCAGCCGCUGAAGGUGGGACAGAUGAUUGGGGU